UUUGGAUGAUUCAAUUGUGAU
rnacentral:miRNA from 1 species